CCUUUUAGUUUGCUUAUACUUUAAAGAAUGGCCCAGCUAACUAUUGACAGCACAAGAUUGCUCUAGCUUGUUCCCUGCCAGGCCACUCAGCUUACAUGAAUGAGUGACCCACAGCAGUGCAGGACUUACAGCUCUAAGUGCCAGGGGACAGUGUCAGGUGGGGAGUCACACUAGGGCGGUAUACCUGUCAAACCAAAAUGAAGUCUCUGAGGAUGAGUCCAGAGAACAUGGAAAUUUCCUCAGAAAGGGAAAAGCUCACCUGACCUUGAUGUUCAGAUUUUUUGUGAAAGAGAGGCCUUAUGAUACUUCCAAAUUUUUGUUUAGUAAACAAGAGGUGUCAUAAAAGUUACCACAGGAUGACAGGGAGGCCAAAUGUUUAUAAUGACACAAAAUCAAAAAUUUAAAUUUUAAAAUUACUUUUUCAUCUUUGUAUCUGUUCUUCUUUUCAGUGAAAGACAGAAUUCACAAACCUCUGAAUUGAUUCCCCCACUAACAAUGAAUGUGGCCUGGCUUUUGGUUGUUUUAAGAGAGGUU
rnacentral:ncRNA from 1 species